rnacentral:rRNA from 1 species
UCGACCUGCAGGCGGCCGCGAAUUCACUAGUGAUUAGAGUUUGAUCAUGGCUCAGAACGAACGCUGGCGGCAUGCCUAACACAUGCAAGUCGAACGAAGGCUUCGGCCUUAGUGGCGCACGGGUGCGUAACGCGUGGGAAUCUGCCCCUUGGUUCGGAAUAACAGUUAGAAAUGACUGCUAAUACCGGAUGACGACGUAAGUCCAAAGAUUUAUCGCCGAGGGAUGAGCCCGCGUAGGAUUAGCUAGUUGGUGUGGUAAAGGCGCACCAAGGCGACGAUCCUUAGCUGGUCUGAGAGGAUGAUCAGCCACACUGGGACUGAGACACGGCCCAGACUCCUACGGGAGGCAGCAGUGGGGAAUAUUGGACAAUGGGCGAAAGCCUGAUCCAGCAAUGCCGCGUGAGUGAUGAAGGCCUUAGGGUUGUAAAGCUCUUUUACCCGGGAUGAUAAUGACAGUACCGGGAGAAUAAGCUCCGGCUAACUCCGUGCCAGCAGCCGCGCAAUACGAAUCGAAUUCCCGCGGCCGCC